rnacentral:lncRNA from 13 species
GUGUGCAUUACACAUUCCUCUAGUGCUUUCAGUUUCAUUGUUUUUAUUGUUAAUUUAGUUAAUCAGCUUAGGUAUGCUGGCCUUAUUAAUUUUGUGUAAUUCUGAGUUUCUUGAGGAUUGUGACCCUAAUUUAGGGAAUCAUCAAGUUUCCAGAAGGAAACUCAGAGAAGCCAUUCAAGCCUAAUCCCACAUUUUACAGAUGGGAACAACCCAGCUUCAAAGAGAGAAGUAAUUUGGCCAAGGUCACAUAGAAUAAUAAGUAACAAUUCUGAUAUAACACCUAUCAUACUUUCAUAUAUAUAGAAAAUAGUCUUUAAGUAAUACUCAACUAAUUCUGCUUUCUUAGUUUCCUUCACAUCUCAUGGUAUUUCCCAUUCACUAACUGGUUGAGUAUAUUCGUUUGUUUUCACACUGCUAUAAAGACACUGUCUGACACUGGAUAAUUUAUAAGCAAAGGUAGUUUCCUUGACUCAGUUUUGCAUGGCUGGGGAGGCCACAGAAAAGUUACAAUCACAGUGGAAGGUGAAGGGGAAGCAAGCGACUUCUCACAAGAUGGCAGAGAGAGAACAAAUAAGGAAGUGCUGUAAUUUUAAACCAUCAGAUCUCAUGAGAACUCACUCGUUAUCAGAACAGCAUGGAGGAAAUCACCCCAAUGAGCCAAUCACUUCCUACCUUGUCCCUCCCUCAACAUGUUGAUUACAAUUCAAGGCAACACACAUUGAUGGAAUGGCAAUUGUGCCAGUCUCUGAAUAGGUUCAUGGGAAGCAAAGUUUAAUAAGGCAUAAAAACAUCAUCAGAGGAGCUCACAACCAAGGGAGGCAGAGAUGAAAACGGAUAAUUCCAGUGCAGUGUUACCUUCAGAAUGGAGCAGUCAGCAAGACAUGGUGGUGAGCCUUGGCUGUAAGUCUUCAUGAUUGAAGAACUCUUUUGCACAAAACAAAGCUCUUCGUCCCUGGCUUGCUGGAACUUAUUAAACACCCAGCCAUUCCUCACUGUGGGUGGAAGCAGCUGCAGCAGCCCACAAGUUUCAGGUAGGUCCAACCUCAAUGUCAUUUCUUUUUCUUUUUCUUUUAUUUAUUUUUUUUGGAGACAGAGUCUCACUCUGUUGCCCAGGCUGGAGUGCAGUGGCACAAUCUCAGCUCACCACAACUUCCGCCUCACGGAUUCAAGCAAUUCUCCUGCCUCAGCCUCCUGA